rfam:Vitis vinifera, whole genome shotgun sequence of line PN40024, unoriented chromosome 14, chr14
CUGACCUUAAUAGAAUUUCUAUAAGCUAUACCUUGGCCUCCUUGAGUCCAAGGAAGCAGGAACCUAAGUUAGUGGAUGAGUUAUGACCAAAUGAUCAGAGUGUGAUUAACAGUUUAGUGAUCUUCAGAGCCUUGAAGGAUAAAGGAUCAUUCUCAGCCAAUUUAGCUCAAACUGGGAUGAUCAUUCGAUUGUCUGACAGACU